rnacentral:rRNA from 1 species
UAUUUAUUUACACCCAUAACCGCCUGGGAAUUACGAGCUCAAGCUUAAAACCCAAAGGACUUGACGGUGUCCCACCCACCUAGAGGAGCCUGUUCUAUAAUCGAUUCCCCCCGAUCUACCUCACCACUUCUAGCCUCUCAGCCUGUAUACCUCCGUCGUAAGCUUACCAUAUGAACGAAUUCCAGUGAGCUAAAAGAUUUUACAUAAAUACGUCAGGUCAAGGUGCAGCCCACGAUGUGGAAAGAAAUGGGCUACAAUUUCUAUAAUAGAACACAACGAAAGACUACAUGCAACUCAGUCAUGAAGGUGGAUUUAGUAGUAAAAAGAAAGUAGAGAGUUCUUUUUAAUUAGGCGCUGGGACGCGUACACACCGCCCG